CCUACGGGAGGCAGCAGCGAGGAAUAUUGGUCAAUGGACGAGAGUCUGAACCAGCCAAGUAGCGUGAAGGAUGACUGCCCUAUGGGUUGUAAACUUCUUUUAUAUGGGAAUAAAACGUUCCACGUGUGGGAUUUUGUAUGUACCAUAUGAAUAAGGAUCGGCUAACUCCGUGCCAGCAGCCGCGGUAAUACGGCGGAUCCGAGCGUUAUCCGGAUUUAUUGGGUUUAAAGGGAGCGUAGGUGGAUUGUUAAGUCAGUUGUGAAAGUUUGCGGCUCAACCGUAAAAUUGCAGUUGAAACUGGCAGUCUUGAGUACAGUAGAGGUGGGCGGAAUUCGUGGUGUAGCGGUGAAAUGCUUAGAUAUCACGAAGAACUCCGAUUGCGAAGGCAGUUCACUGGACUGCAACUGACACUGAGGCUCGAAAGUGUGGGUAUCAAACAGGAUUAGAUACCCGUGUAGUC
rnacentral:rRNA from 1 species